GCCUUAUUUAUCAACUCAUCUGUCAGUUUGAAAUAUAUUCUGGCCAUAAUCAAUGUUUAGUAAAACACUGUUUUCAACAAACUGCUGUUGUCUAAAGUGCGCCUCACUACAAGAGCAAAAUAUCAAGACAUUUCCACAUUGAUCCUGCUGUAAUCAAUCCUCAGCCAGAGCAUCACAUAUUAACUUCUCAGAGGGGUUUUAUUUUUAAAUAGGCCAACAUGACAGUGGGCAGACUGACAGGUGGUACGCCUGCAAGCUUGACGCUGAUGGAGAGCCACAGACGAUGGUCAGGCAGGUGACAAGUUCAGUCCUACUGUCAGCACUUAGGAUUUCCCCAUAGGCACACAAAUUCUGACAGCAGCUGCAGAGAGAAGAGAGACGCACACACAAACGUGCACACAUUUUGAUAUACUCUUGUAUGGAAGUGCGAUUUCAUAAAAUUUUUACAUCUUCUUUCAUUUUACCAAUUUCUAGGUUCACCUUCCGGAGGCGACUUGGUGUGUUUACGUACAUCUAUUGCAUUGCUCAUCAGUUUCAACCGUUUAUUGAGGUGUUACCUCAUGCAUUGUGUUUCAUAUCGUUUUGCAAGUCUUUGAGAAACCACCAUCUCUCUACUCUGAAAUUAUCUCAGGCUUUCCAGACACAUUUCAGGACCACUGAGCAAAGUCUCUUCCUUCGUUGCCAGUCCAUCCCCUUCCAAUCAGCUCAGAGUCUGUGCUUUAGAUGGACAAACACUGAUGUGCAAUUUUAAUUAAAGCGAGAUCAAGUGCCAAUGUCUGUGCAAACACACAGGUGUUUUUUUAUUAUUAUUAUUAUUAUUAUUUUAUUUUAUUUUACAGUCAUUUCAGAAUGUGUAAAAACUUUUUACAAAAAGGAUUUUGUGUAAAUUGUGUGUUAUCAUAUCAAUAGUUGGUUUCUUCUGUAAUGUGACUUAUUUCCAAAUAAGUGAAACGGAUAUUCAGUGAGGGCAGGAAUUGAUCUGAUGGUGAAAUUGAGCUUUAAGUACCAGAAUGUAGCCAGACUAAAUGCUAGUUUGCUAAAACAACACCUAAAUAGCUAUUUGACUUACGGUUAAGAUUUGUAAAUAGUCUGUGUGACCUAAUAAACAGAUGAACUGUUCAAAAUAAGUCA
ensembl:lncRNA